rnacentral:rRNA from 1 species
UAUACUGAUAAAGACAACUGAUAAGGUAAGAAAAUCUAACUACUGUACCUCUUGUAUCAGGGUAGUUUAAAAGAACCUUUAUUUAAGACUCGAUUAAGACAGAUCUUUUGGUUUUAUCUCAAUUAAAAUUAAGGUAAAAAAUCUUCAAGAGGUGAAAAGUUAACGAUGUUUUUUGUAUCUAGUUCCUUUUAACUUAAAGGGUAAAGCUCUUUAUUUUUUAUGAUGUAAAAAGUAGUGGGGGGGUCUAGGCUUUAGAUUAGCCAUGCUAGUAUUUUGUUAAAAAUAGCUUCUUUUUGAGUGGCAAAAGUAAGUUUGGGAAGGUGCGCGGGCAGACUUAAAUUAGUGUUAAUAAUGAAUUUAUUGAAUAGCGGCUGAAGCUUAAAAAUAACUCAAGUCUAGUUAGAAGGUUUAGCAAAAACAUUUUUGCUCGGCCAGUAAGCAGUAAGGCCUGCCCAGUGGGGUCUAAACGGCUGCGGUACUUUGACCGUGCUAAGGUAGCAUAAUCACUUGCUUCUUAAUUGGUAGCUGGAAUGAAAGGUUGAACUAACUUAACAAGUUUGUUUUUCUAAUUAGGGUAUUUAAGUCAAGGUAAGAAUUCUUUGAUAACCUAGGGGACGAUAAGACCCUAGAAGCUUAACAAUAAGUUAAGGUAUUUGUUACGCUAGCAACUUUGUUUUACUGGGGCGGUAAAAAUGUUUAAACCAAUUAGGUUUUAGCGGAUCCUCUACAUAGGGAAAGAUUGGUGUAGUUACUCUAGGGAUAACAGUGUUAUAUCUUUGGAGAGACCUUAUCGAUAAAUAUUUUUGCAACCUCGAUGUUGAAUUAAGAUAUCUGCGUGAAGUAGCAGACACGUAAGAGGGUUUGUUCAACCUUUAAAGUCUUACAUGAUUUGAGUUCAAAUCGGCUUAAGCCAGAUUGGAUUUUAUCUCUAGUUAUUGAAGUAACUUUUUUAGUACGAGAGGGCCAAUUAGUUUUUGGUUAC